rfam:Arabis alpina cultivar Pajares scaff_55143_1_contig_8, whole genome shotgun sequence.
AUUCUAUGGUAAGGACAUCUUCUGGUGUACCCCUUAAGACGUUCUCAAUCUUCAAUGAGAGAUUCCUGACUAACCUGGGUAAAGGAGUUGAUAUCACUUAUGUAGUU